AACGAACGCUGGCGGCAUGCCUAACACAUGCAAGUCGAACGAGACCUUCGGGUCUAGUGGCGCACGGGUGCGUAACGCGUGGGAAUCUGCCCUUGGGUUCGGAAUAACAGCGAGAAAUUGCUGCUAAUACCGGAUGAUGACGUAAGUCCAAAGAUUUAUCGCCCAAGGAUGAGCCCGCGUAGGAUUAGCUAGUUGGUGAGGUAAAGGCUCACCAAGGCGACGAUCCUUAGCUGGUCUGAGAGGAUGAUCAGCCACACUGGGACUGAGACACGGCCCAGACUCCUACGGGAGGCAGCAGUGGGGAAUAUUGGACAAUGGGCGAAAGCCUGAUCCAGCAAUGCCGCGUGAGUGAUGAAGGCCUUAGGGUUGUAAAGCUCUUUACCCGGGAUGAUAAUGACAGUACCGGGAGAAUGAGCUCCGGCUAACUCCGUGCCAG
rnacentral:rRNA from 1 species